rnacentral:rRNA from 1 species
CCCACUGAUUUAUUAAUUAAAGGGCUGCAGUAUAUUGACUGUACAAAGGUAGCAUAAUCAUUAGUCUUUUAAUUGAAGACUUGUAUGAAAGAUUUGAUGAAAUAUAAACUGUUUCUAAUUUAUUUAUAGAAUUUAAUUUUUUAGUUAAAAAGCUAAAAUUUAAUUAAAAGACGAGAAGACCCUAUAGAGUUUUAUAUUUUUUAUUUAUUAUAUAUAUAUAUAUAUAUAUAUAUAAAUUUAUUUAAUUAAUAAAAAAUAUUUUGUUGGGGUGAUAAAAAAAUUAAAUAAACUUUUUUUUUUUAAUAAAUAUAAAUAAGUAAAAAAUUGAUCCAUUAUUAAUGAUUAAAAGAAAAAAUUACCUUAGGGAUAACAGCGUAAUAUUUUUUUUUAGAACAAAUAAAAAAAAAAGUUUGCGACCUCGAUGUUGGAUUAAGAUAAAAUUUAAAUGCAAAAGUUUAAAAUUU